GCGGUGAGGGGAUGAAGGCACAGCACGCCUGCCUUGCCUGCUACGUGUAGCUCACUGGCCGACACAACUCGAGGAGCGGCAAUAAGCCCUCGCAGAAAUGAUGCGGACAGGCAUCACAUGGCAUGCCCUGGGGAUCCAGGUUCGAUUCCCGCUGCGCCUAAGAGAUGCAGUAAACGCAGGAGCGGUUUGUUCACUGGCAGCUUGGAGAGAGCUCCAUCCUCCUGUUGUUGCUGGUCUCACUGUCAGCGGUGCAUCUAGGGGGCCACGGCUCAGAGGUGCGGGAGGGGACUCUGCAGCACCAGGACUGGGAAGUUGCAGGCCAGGCACCUUGAAUGCCAGCCCAACAAUACAUAAAGGUACCACAGGAGUCACUCUAGAGAAGCUUUUUCUUAAAUCAUAAUUCAAAAGGUCAAGGGGAACAAAGACAUCCUAAGAUCUCUAAAGAUAUCCUAAGUGUUUCUCAGUCCGGUCCUUGAGGACCCACAGACAUUCCAUGUGUUUGCUCCCUCUCAGCUCUCAGUAAGGACUUUCUGGUAGGGAGCUCAGAGUGAGCUGUGGGUCCCUGACGACUGGAUUGGGAAACACUGCCAUAAGAGGUGUGAGUCCCUAACAACAGCAAGGAACGUACAGCAGAAAGGAUGACACAGUCACCAAAAGCCUUUGGGUGCUGGUGCCGAACGCUGGCUAUUUCACAAAUGAACGGCGGUGUGCAGGCCUGCUGAAAGUGGAGAUCUGCGAGCUCUUCGGCAUCCUGAGCGAAUGUGUGUUUGGCAUCCCCCCAGCGUGGCACCCAGGUGAAGGAAAACAAAAAACAUGGCAAAAACUUGAGCCACAGAACUGCUGACACACGCUGCUUUCUCCCAGCACUAAAAAUAGAGCGACGCACCGCCAUCACAUACCCCGCUGUCAACCUGGCGAAUGCGGUCAGACCUAAGCCAGGAGGGACUCCCCCUGAGUGCUGGGCACCAUCUGCUUCCAGACCACCCCAUGGAUCAGUCCCCUCUCAGAAAGGUAGCGGCCAAACAGCUUCGCUGAUGCAUUCCUUCAUAGUUCCACACUUCCCCCUAUUUAUGCAACUGGACGUUUUACUGAAGCUAAAUAAAUUAAUUACAGUUUUCAAGGGCAUAAUACCUUCUCCCCCCAGAGACUCAGACUGCCAGCCUUUUGGGUUAUUAGCCCGCAUCCUUAAUUGCUUUGCUGCCCUCAGCCCUGUCAUAUGACUGCAUGCUGGUCAGGUGACUCGCGCAAGAGGACUGAAAGUAAGGAUCUGCAGAGUCCACCCUGAAGGUGAGCUGCUCAGAUUAAUACUGACAAAGCAGUCCGGUCCAUCCUGUCUUAACAUCCCUCCUCCAGUUUCACCCUCUCACCUCAAUAUAACCUCGAGUGGAAAAAAAACUGGAUAUUACACACUGUUUUCACAUCUACCAGAACAGACAUGAUGUUGUCUUCCUGUUGGGUGAUGUGUUAUGACAUGUCAUGUUAAGCACUCCUUGGUACCUGGAUUGGGAGGAUGCUAUAUGAAAAUAAAGCUAACAGUUGAAUUUUUUUGUAUUUUACUGGCAUGUACAGUAUAUAGAAACAGGGAUUGAUAGAGGAGUAGAGACCUUGUGGAGUCUGCAUGCUCUCCUCGUGUCACACGGGUUUCCUCCUGUAGUCCAGAGACAACAAACUGGAGUCUGGCCACAGAGUGUGUAGGAGUGUGUGGCCCUGUGAUGGACAGGGUGUACCCCAGCUUUGUGCCAUAUGCUGCCUGGGAUAGGCUCCAGGCCCCCCAUGACCCUCAACUGGAUAAGCAGUUGGAAAAUGGAUGGUUGAGAUUUUAUCAGUAUAUUGGUUUAGUGCAGCUCUGCAAAACCUGGAGAAUUCUAAUUUUUUGUCUUUUGUGGAUCUCAAACCUAAACAGUGUGUCUUUCUCAGAUGACUCUGAAUUUCCUCGGCAGAUGAAACCUUCGGAUACAGACUUUGAACUUGAAUUGCCUAUGAGUGAAUGAGACACUCCAGCAAUCUGUGGCCCAGCAGCCUGUCCGCACUGGAUAGUAAGAAGCGAGGAUGAAAAAAGAGCAAAGAUGGCACCGCGGUGCAGAAGGAAUGUUGCCCAGAAGCAGUUUGCUGCGUCGCCGAGGUCUCCCAUCCAAUGGAGGGGUGGGGGGUGCAGGGCAGUGAUGGCCCCGAGAGGCUGAGGAGAAUACGAGAUGGGGGAGUCAAGUAACGGUGUGAUAUGGGUGAUGGUGGCGAUGCUGAUGAGGAAGAUGAUGAGAGAGUCGCGCAGCAAGAAGAAACAGUGGCAUGUGACUGGGUGCCAUCUGUUACGGUGUGGAGAGGAUAAAUCACGACAGAUGCUUCUGGGAUAUAAUUAGUAACAUAAAUACAGUAAAAAAACAGUGAAAAAGAGUAACACUCUGAGUAAUACACAAAGUAAAGUACUGAGUAACAGAGCAUAGCACUAGGAAGAAACAAAUGAAGACACCAAGUGACACUAUGUGACAUGCUGAGUAAUAAAGUCAAAGUCAAUAUGCGAGUAACACAUGGAACAAAACACUGAUACACUGAGGAACACACUGAGAAAUAGAGGCAGGCACCACCAGAAGGUGCUGGCAUGUCACAAGCAUCUUCUUGCUGAGCGAACGCUUCCCAUAGUGCAGCACUUGGUGCAUUUCUCAAACCCUCUAGGAAUUAGAUUAUUGACUAAUGUUUGCACCAUGACUUAACAGUUUUAAGGUGGUGUGGGUGAACAUAAUGAUGAAGCAUAAUGAUGAAUCACAAUAUAUACUUUACUUCCGUCAGUAUUACCAUGAUGUACUAUGGUAGUUAUGCAGGUCAUUAACAUGUCUGAUAUUUCAUAACUGCUUUUAUGUGUUACAGUAAGGCCUACAUAGCAUAGAAUACCAUGUGAUAGAGAUGCAUGAUUUAUUGAUAUUGGCCAAUAUUUGUUAAAAAUCAAGAUACUGGCAUCAGUCCAAUGUGUCCAUCUUUGCUGAUAUUGCUGGCUGAUAUAAAAAAAUGAUCAGUAAUCAAAUUUAGCCACACCAGAACUAAGGAUGAAACUACUAAAAUAACAGAAAUGAUUGCAUUGGAUGAUCAGCCAUUUUCCAUAUUGAAGGAUGUGGGAUUCUGUCGACUCAUGUAUCACUUAGUACCAGGCCGCGACACUAAUAAUUCAUUAUUUAAUCUGUACUUAAUCUGCCUGCAAAUCGAUCUUUUGUUUUCGACAGAAUAAAAAAACACAAUGUAGCAUUAUUCUGAUAAUCGGUGCUGGCAAACUCAACAAGCCGCCUCCCCCCUUCUCCACAGCAAGUAGCUCUGAGAUUAGCCAGUAAUCUGUAUCAGACAUUUUAGACAAAAAUGUAUCAGUUCUCAGUACCAGUUAACACUCCCGGUGCACCACUAGCAUGUAAUAUUUUUUCAGGUCCUUUCAUAGUCGCCCUGAGACACUAUACUCAUAUCCCACCCAACCAGGGUUGGACUGGCCAUCUGGCAUACCGGGCAAUGCCCGGUGGGCCGACACACAUUUUUGGGCCGGCCCGGGGCCCUCCGCUGGAUCGUAAAGGCCGCUCCCAUAUACUAAAUACACACAAAAUUAUAUUAUCGCAGUUUUCUCCCAAGCUCUUGAUGGCUGGAAUAUAUUAUGCAUAUUUCAAGUUUGACUUGUGAUUUUAUAUAUCUCUCAUUUUCGUUAUGCAUUCUUAUUAUGGUGGGUUUAUGGUGUAAUUUUUUUAUUUAAAAUAUAUAAAAAAAAAACUGUAAAAUCCCUACAACAAACUCAAAAUAUAAUACAUAGUAAUGUUUUGAAGUCAAACUAAGCUGUUCCUUUUGUAUUUAAUGGUUUUCCGUUUGAGGGAUUUGCAAAAAACUGCAGUGCAUGAUGGGUAGGAUCUAAAAGCUGCCUAAUGUCCUCAUCCCUCUGACGACUGUUGCGUAUGUUGGUCCAGAAAGUAAUUCAAUUUCGCCAUGUAGGCUACGUUCUUAAAAACUGCUUUUUGUUGGAUAUGGCCCAAUUAUAUGCUGUGGACCAUUUAAUUUCUGUUUGGAAUUUCGCCAGGUAGGCUACCUUCUUUAAACUGCGUUUUGUUAGACUACAUAUUUCGGGAUGUUGUAUUGUAGUCUUUGUAAAUAUGUAUAUAAUUUAGUCUAACCCAGCCACUUAAGGGAGCAAACCAGCUCAACUAGGUGCCGGUCCCAAACCCGGAUUAAUGGGGAGGGUUGGCGUCAAGAAAUAGAGACUAUGUUCACUGCAUCACUGAUGUCAAAAUGUGGGAAAUAUGUGGUUGUAUAAAUAAAUGCGUUAAAGUAGG